rnacentral:rRNA from 1 species
GACAGAGGGUGCAAACGUUGUUCGGAAUUACUGGGCGUAAAGCGCGUGUAGGCGGCCAAGCAAGUCGGGUGUGAAAGCCCCGGGCUCAACCCGGGAAGUGCAUUCGAUACUGCGUGGCUUGAGUCCCGGAGAGGAUGGUGGAAUUCUCGGUGUAGAGGUGAAAUUCGUAGAUAUCGAGAGGAACACCGGUGGCGAAGGCGGCCAUCUGGACGGUGACUGACGCUGAGACGCGAAAGCGUGGGGAGCAAACAGG